rnacentral:sRNA from 1 species
UGUCGAGCAAAGGACAUCACCACUUCACUUCACCACUCGACCACGAGGUCGAGUGCCUUCACCUCCAUCAUCAGACCACCACUCGACCUCGUCACUCAACCUAGAAGUCGAGUAUCUUCUGACACCACUCGAUCACAUCACUCGACCCCCAGGUCGAGUGCCUUCACCUUCACUGCCAGACCACUACUCGACCUCAUCAUUCUACCUAGAGGUCGAGUAUCGCCAUCACACCACUCGACUGCAUACUCGAUCACAAGCUUCAGAGCCUUCUUCAUUCCGCACUUAACCAGACACUCGAGCACAAGGAAGAAAAGAAGACUCCAGUUAUUCACUCGACCUCUCACUCGACCAGAUGGGUCGAGUACAGUUCUUAACCCGUCCCAAUACUUCGUCGUUUUGAGUAUUAGGGUUUCGGGAUAUUUGGCUAUAAGUAGCAUGUACUUCACAUUUUCGCAAAAGAAGUUUUUACCUAGUUUUAUUUCCGCAGAACUUGUGUUCUAGACUUUUUGUAAUCCAGAUUUCUCUUUAUCUAUUCAGUAUUCAGUAUACUGUUGUUCAUUCUGUUAUCAUCCUGCUGUUACACUGCUGUUAUCAUGUCUUCAACCUGUUCAACGUUUAUGCUUUCUGUUAUGAUGUCUGAGUAGUGAAUAGGUUUCUGAGGAUGGGUUAGAGUAGUGUAGAAUUCUCAGUAUGCUAGGUGAUUGAGUAUUGAUUGAUAAAUCCCUUCUCAAUUAGUUGUUCUUAAUGCCUAUUGCUUUCUGAUCAACUGGAAUUUGAGCCCAGACAUUUCCGCGCCCAAAAGGUGUUCGAUGAAAUGUCUGAACCACUAAUUCCAGAGAUUCGUGACCCUGUACCAAGGUAUUGGUUGCAGGGAGCGUUUUGGCUUUAACUUGUUAUUUCGUAAUGCUUGUUAGGUUAGCUCUCUUCAAUGGUGAUUGAGUCUGGGACUAGGUUAGCUUGAGAUUCUCUGUUGCGGUGGCACUUAGAUUUGGUUAAUGAACUUGUUGUCUAUGGUUAAUUUAUUGAGCAUGUCAAUCACCUGUAAACUGAGGAAACGAAACUACUCAAUUACCCCAUCCUUAGGAAUUCUUUGUCUGAUUGAUUUUAUUGUUUACUUUACUGCUGUUUACUGCAUCCUGUCAUCUGUUGCUUAGUUUCUGCAAUUCUUUACUAUUACUCGACCUCGUACUCGACCACCCAGUUGUCUGGCAACAGACUGUGCAGUCGAGUAUCCCUGUUUCAUUUUCUGUCUGUUACUCGACCUGUCACUCGACCUCACCCAGUGCUCUGCAAAGACCUGUGUUGGUCGAGUGUUUUACUGUUUCUGUUUGAUUUUCUGUUUUCUGCAUGUUCACUUCGGACUGCUAGAACACACCAAAACAUGUUAUGCUUGGCUUGACUUAGUGACUUCUGAUCACAUCUUGAUUGUUAGCAUCACACCCAUUUGGAUUGACAACCUAAAAUAGUACAACGACAUGAUUGGUGUUUUAGGAUAAUUGACUAAAAAACCUAUUAUCAGAUAACACAGCCUGCCCAAUCGCCCCCAACCGAACCUACGUUCCCACACCAGACGGACGAUCUCGUUGUUCAGGAUCGGCGCGAUGAAAUACGAAACUAUAUCGCAGAUGGCACAAUCCCGACGGAUAAGUGGGCCGCCCGACGGUUACGUGCCCGCAGCGCGCAGUACAUUGUUGGAUGGCAAUCUUCAUCGUUGGAACGCUGCUGGGGUACUUUUCUCAUGUCUUGCCGGUGACGAAACCUUACAAGUUAUGCGUGAAAUUCACGAAGGCGCUGGUGGGAACCAUUCAGGAGGUCGUGCUUUGGCA